rnacentral:rRNA from 2 species
GCUGGUUUUUUUAGCGAAGUGGCAACACCUCUUCCCAUUCCGAACAGAGAAGUGAAACGCUUCAGCGCCUACGAUACUGGGAUUUCCCGGGACAAUGGGUCAAGGCCAGCU